GCGACCAUGUCGUCGACACGUUAUUGUGAUGAGUGGUUCGCGACUUGAUUAUAAGACUUCAAAUUUUAACAACGCGUAGUUCGCUCUGGACGUCUAUUAGUCACCGUCAUCGAAAACGACGUCAUUCCGGUGGUCCUCACAGUUCUUCACCACUUCCAGUACAGUUGCUAAGCGUCUGUCCAAAGCAGCAAGGUGUGGCUCUGACAGAAGGGGAGCGACAGUUGCAAGAGGAUCUUGGGCCAGCGACUGCCGCAUGACAUCACUAAGGCGGAAUUCCGGAUAGGAUAACAGACGCAACCGAAGGAGGGUGGAGCGACGGAUUCUGUGCAGCCCAUCUGCUGCCUCUAGUCCACGGCCCCAUGCCGAGCUUCUUCAAUAGAUCUCACCUUCUUCCCUAUAUCACACACACACCCUACUGUGAUACUGGACUCUGACAAGAAGACAGAUUCUCACCUCUUGUUUCCACAAACGCUGGAAGAGUCUUGGAGAGACCACUCUCUUUGAGGUGGAGUACUCACCUGGCCAGUUUGGUGCGACUGUAUGAUCGUCUCCAUGGCGACCUCCACGACCUGCGCGGGGCAAGGCUGAGGUCAGCUCCACCUUCCUUUCGAGCUCCCAUUCCAAGUCCUCCAUCCUCCAGGGUCUCUCUGCACCAGCUUUGUGCCCAACUACACUUUCUGGGCCACCAGAUUUGCUGCUGUCGUCCACCACUGCUGAGGUGUUUAGGGUCACAAGUAAGAUGUACCCCACUUGAUUUUAAGGAAGAGGAGGAGCACGCUCUGGGUCGGUCACUCGCCAAUCAAGGAGCAACAGCAAUCGACUGUGGGUUAUUUAACGUCUCUAAUGAACCUAACAUUCACGUUUUUUUGGAAUGUGAGAGGAUAACUUGGUAGCCGGAGAAAAGAGUGUAACAAUUGACAACAGUAACAAUCAGUAAGUAGUAAGUACCAACAGCCUGAGCCUCGAUUUUUUUUUUUUUUUUUUUUUAAGUUACAAUGCGGUUUAAAGCCCACGUGACAAGUGUCUGACCGCAUGUGAUGGUUUAAGAUCUCAUUGCCUACUGCAGGAGACAAAGUAUUGAACUCAUGAAAAUAAAAUUUUUCCCAAUAAUUGAAAGCCCCUUUACAUCGAGGGAAACAAUGUCUUCACUCUGCACGUUGAACCCGUUGCUCUGUAUGCAGAAAGCACAAGAACAAAUUGUGAUUUGAGUGGUCCAAACCCG